UUUUUUUUUUAAUGAUACGGCGACCACCGAGAUCUACACUCUUUCCCUACACGACGCUCUUCCGAUCUGUGAAAGCCCAGUAUACGACUCUUUAACGAAGCCUAGUGGAAUCCUGAGUAGCGCGGAGCACGAGAAAUUCUGUGUGAAUCAGCGGGGCCCAUCCCGUAAGGCUAAAUACUCCCGAGAGACCGAUAGCGAACCAGUACUGUGAAGGAAAGGUGAAAAGCACCUCGAACAGAGGAGUGAAAUAGUCCCUGAAACCGUCUGCCUACAAGCGGUCGGAGCAACGUAAGUUGUGACGGCGUGCCUUUUGCAUAAUGAACCUACGAGUUACUUUCUCCGGCAAGGUUAAGGGCUUCAGGCCCGGAGCCGAAGCGAAAGCGAGUCUUAAUAGGGCGUGAUAGUCGGAGUGAGUAGACGCGAAACCAAGUGAUCUACCCUUGGUCAGGAUGAAGGUUGGGUAACACCAACUGGAGGUCCGAAUGGGUAUACGUUGAAAAGUGUUCCAAUGAACUGAGGGUAGGGGUGAAAGGCUAAUCAAACUUGGAGAUAGCUCGUACUCCCCGAAAUGCAUUUAGGUGCAGCCUUUAUUUAGUAUAGCAUGAGGUAGAGCGACUGAUUGGAUGCGAGGGCUUCACCGCCUAUCAAGUCCAGAUAAACUCCGAAUGCGUGCUAUAUAUUGAUAAGGAGUGAGGGCGCGGGUGCUAAGGUCCGCGUCCGAGAGGAGAAGAAUCCAGACCAUCAGCUAAGGUCCCCAAAUAACAGUUAAGUUGAACUAACGAAGUCGGACUGCAGAGACAGCUAGGAUGUUGGCUUGGAAGCAGCCAUUCAUUUAAAGAGUGCGUAACAGCUCACUAGUCGAGGAGUCCGGCGUGGAUAAUACUCGGGCAUAAACUGUUUACCGAAGCUAUGGAUGUAGAAAUACAUGGUAGGGGAGCAUUCCAACGGCGUCGAAGGUGAAGGAUGACCUUUGCUGGAGCUUUUGGAAACGCAAAUGUAGGUAUAAGUAACGAUAAAGGAGGUGAGAAACCUCCUCGCCGAAAGACUAAGGUUUCCUGAUCAACGUUAAUCGGAUCAGGGUAAGUCGGGACCUAAGGUUAAGCCGAACGGCGAUACCGAUGGAAGAAUGGUUUAAUAUUCCCAUACUACUUUAUGGAGCGAUGUGGAGACGGAGAAGUGAAAGUCCUGCCAUCUGACGGAAUAGGUGGUUGAAGAGUGUAGAUGUAGAUUCCUGUAGGCAAAUCCGCAGGGAGAGUCGACCUUGAUAGUAUGCCGCGUGCUUGCACAAGGCAAAAUGGACGUAAUCAGGCUCCCAAGAAAAUCCGCUAAGCAUAUUCAUAAAGUACCCGUACCGUAAACGGACACACGUAGUUGGGUUGAAAAUACUGAGGCGCUCGAGUGAUUCACGGUUAAGGAACUAGGCAAAUUGACCCUGUAACUUCGGGAUAAAGGGUCCCUACUGAGAGGUAGGGCGCAGAGAAUAGGUCCAGGCAACUGUUUAACAAAAACACAUGGCUGUGCGAAAUAGAAAUAUGAAGUAUACAGCCUGACACCUGCCCGGUGCUGGAAGGUUAAGAGGAGAGCUCAUCGCAAGAGAAGGCUUGAAUUGAAGCCCCAGUAAACGGCGGCCGUAACUAUAACGGUCCUAAGGUAGCGAAAUUCCUUGUCGGGUAAGUUC
rnacentral:rRNA from 1 species